UUGAUAGGUAAAACAGAGUACAGACACAUAAAGAUAGGAAAUCAAUCGCCCAACAAUCAACGCCAACUCCACCUAGCGGCGGAGCACUGCACAUCGUUGCGCUGUCUAUUUCGUACACCGUGUGCUACCUGCAGGACGUGUUAACGCACAUUUCCAUUGUGCAGGUGAGGGAAAAAGGGGGCCAAUGUUCCGAUGUUUAAAGCUUCUAAGCAGCGAAUGUCUGUGCUCAAUAAACGCCCCUAUACCGUCGCAAAUAUAUUCCAAGGCGAUAAUAAAAACAAAGGUCACUCGCGGUUCAUCGAGGGUUUCCGCCGGUACGUUUUGGCGUUCCAUCCAAACAUGGACAAAAGGAAAUUGAAACUUUGUGGCAAGCUGAUUGCCUGUUGCGUGGCUUUCAUCUUGGUCCUGUCGACAGGACUUGCAUCCAAAGCAGCAAUUUUCUUCAUGACGUCGUCCAUGGGCCAGGUGCUGAAAGAACUCUAUCCAGGAGGAAGGCAUCGUUACGCUAGAGAAAAGGACCUCAUCCAACACGUUGAGCGAUUCGCUUGUUGGAUGUGGAGUCUUUUGUUCAGUAUCGCAGUUCCUGAAUUAUUCAGUUUCUUGCAUUCGCUACACAUUUUUCUUUCCCGCCGAGAUUGUUGGACGCGUCCUCGUCUUGUUGAUUUUACGAUUGUGUUUUUAUUUGAGACUGCCCAGGUCGUUGGAAUGCCUUGCUAUUUGGUUUCGUUUUGCCGUGCCUUUCGGUGGUACAUGGCAUUUUGAUCACCAACUGCCUUUAUCUGGUACCCGCCCUAUUCAACUUCCUUUCGUGAAAAUCUGACGAUCAAAAGCGAGUGGCUAAAAUGACGGUGGACGGGAUCACAUUUCUUGCCCAGUUGAGUGGCUGUCUACAUUUGAUCUUCAUCCGAAGCACUGCGACUACAUUGGCCAACAGCUACGAUUCCAGUUUCACCCAACGUAAACGGAUGAUGGAUUGUAUGUUGCCUCUAUCCCUUUUUCUCAUUUCUCUUGGAUGGUGGGAGAAUCACGUCGACAAAGAUGCACCUAUCGGUUUUAUCAAGUCGUUGGGUCGAAUCAAAGAAAAAAUGAAGAAGACACGACAUUUUAUUCAGAUGUUUGUCAGCCUGUGGAAAUUAUUGGUUUUCCUUUGCACGAUGCUUAUUUUGACCAGCGUCGUUCUUCCGGAAGGAUGCACAACAGAUGCUAACCUCAGUUCAUUCUUGUUUGUUAUCAAACAAGGCUUACAUCAGUUUUGGUCCAGUGCGAUCCCGUUGGAUUGGAUGUCUCCGUUUUACAUCUUUCUCAUUCAAUCGAGUACCUCUUUGCUUUUCUAUUUAUUCGGGACAUUUGCCUGCAAGAUCGGUGCACAGAGAUACUGCUUCGCCCUUCCAGUGGUCUUAAUAACCCCUGUACUCAUUUCAACUUUAACCAUGGCCCAUUUCAAUAUAGUCGACCCAUUUCCGGCUUAUAUCUCAUUCGGGAUAGAUAACGGCCACCAUCAACCAAUGAUAUUGCUAGCUCUGUCGUUUAUUUUGUUUCUUUCCCAGACUUGGAUUACCCUUCACAUUUGGGAGCCUGUUGAACCAGACUCUCAUAUGAAUGAUACUAAAUGGUAUAAUUCUCUUCUUAUUGAUCACUCAUUCAAUUUGAGCUCGCCCCGAUAUCGAAACGAGGGUGAUGUCAUCUCAGGCUGUACAGCAAACUGUACCGUGACGACGCGCAUUUUUGCCGUUGCAACGAUAUGGCACGAAUCGAGCGAUGAGAUGAUGGCCAUUCUCAGGUCCAUCUUCCGUAUGGAUAACGAUCAAUCGAAGCGCCGUGAUUGCAACAAGGUUAUUGACCCAUAUCUCUAUCAUUACGAGACGCAUAUCUUUUUCGACGACGCUUUCGAAUCGAGCACGAAAGAUAGGGACGCGUCGAGGGUAGCCAAUCAGUUUGUGAAUGAGUUUAUCGCAAUGGUCGAUAAGGUGAACUCUCAAUGGACGCAUUCUACCAGCCCUCAAUCACCGACGACUUCUGUCACUCCUUAUGGAGGUCGGUUGGUGUGGAUCCUUCCGGGAAACACAAAAAUGGCAGUUCAUUUGAAAGGCAAGAUGAAAAUUCGUAUCAAGAAACGUUGGAGUCAAGUAAUGUACAUUGACUAUCUAAUCCGGUAUGAAAUGGCAAACUGCAUGGAUAUGACGAAUGUCUUUUUACUGUCGCUGGACGGAGAUAUGGACUUCCGGCCAAAAGCCGUGCACGUCCUUGUAGAUCGGAUGAAUUCCGAAAGAGAUGUAGGUAUCGUAUGCAAUCGUUCUCAUCCCAUCGGAUCAGCAGAUGCAAUGGUUUGGUAUCAAAUGUUUGAGUACGCAAUCGGCUUCUGGUUGCUGAAACCUAGUGAGGAUCUGUUGGGAAGUAUACUUUGCGCUUCCGGUUGUUUCUCCCUGAUCCGUGCUAGUGUUCUCCUGGACGAAGAAGUCAUGAAUAAAUUCACUGCUCUUUCAGAGGAAGCUCACCACAUGAUCCAACGUGACCAAGUACUUAGGCGAAGAUCGAUGGCUGUGCACUUUACUCAUCAAACGAGGAUAUCGACUAGCCUACUCCGUAAACAGUUCUGCCUACACCCAUUGCCCGGAGACAUUCGAAGAGUUUUACAAUCAACGUCGUCGAUGGGCGCUGUCUCUAAUUGCAAAUACGAUAGAUGUGCUCUGGAAUGGUAGGCAGAUUGUUAAAAUGAAUCCAAAUAUUUCGUGGCUUUACAUAGUUUUCCAGGCCGUGUUACUAACUAUGGGCAUCUUGUGUCCCGGAUCAAUUUUUCUUGCACUAGUCUACACUUCUGCAACCACAUUUGUUCUCAGCCCUUGGAUUAGUCUCGCUGUUCAUUCAGUUCUUAUUUUUAUGUAUGUCUUAACCUG
rnacentral:misc_RNA from 1 species